rnacentral:rRNA from 1 species
AUUGAACGCUGGCGGCGUGCCUAACACAUGCAAGUCGAGCGGUAACAGGUGUAGCAAUACAUGCUGACGAGCGGCGGACGGGUGAGUAACGCUUGGGAAUCUGCCUGUUAGUGGGGGACAACCCGGGGAACUCGGGCUAAUACCGCAUACGCACUACGGUGGAAAGCCGGGGACCGCAAGGCCUGGCGCUAACAGAUGAGCCCAAGUCGGAUUAGCUAGUUGGUAGGGGUAAUGGCCUACCAAGGCGACGAUCCGUAACUGGUCUGAGAGGACGACCA